rnacentral:rRNA from 1 species
UACGGGGGGGGCAAGCGUUGUUCGGAAUUACUGGGCGUAAAGCGCGCGUAGGUGGCUUCAUAAGUCCGUUGUGAAAGUCAAAGGCUCAACCUUUGAAAGCCGAUGGAUACUGUGAAGCUAGAGUACGGAAGAGGCGAGUGGAAUUCCUGGUGUAGCGGUGGAAUGCGCAGAUAUCAGGAGGAACACCAAUAGCGAAGGCAGCUCGCUGGGACGUUACUGACACUGAGGCGCGAAAGCGUGGGGAGCGAACAGG